AGUAAUGCUUGGGAAUCUGGCUUAUGGAGGGGGAUAACUACGGGAAACUGUAGCUAAUACCGCGUAAUAUCGAAAGAUUAAAGUGUGGGACCUUCGGGCCACAUGCCAUAGGAUGAGCCCAAGUGGGAUUAGGUAGUUGGUGAGGUAAAGGCUCACCAAGCCGACGAUCUCUAGCUGGUCUGAGAGGAUGACCAGCCACACUGGGACUGAGACACGGCCCAG
rnacentral:rRNA from 1 species